UUGAACGCUGGCGGCAGGCCUAACACAUGCAAGUCGAGCGGAUGAAGGGAGCUUGCUCCUGGAAUCAGCGGCGGACGGGUGAGUAAUGCCUAGGAAUCUGCCUGGUAGUGGGGGAUAACGUCCGGAAACGGGCGCUAAUACCGCAUACGUCCUGAGGGAGAAAGUGGGGGAUCUUCGGACCUCACGCUAUCAGAUGAGCCUAGGUCGGAUUAGCUAGUUGGUGGGGUAAAGGCCUACCAAGGCGACGAUCCGUAACUGGUCUGAGAGGAUGAUCAGUCACACUGGAACUGAGACACGGUCCAGACUCCUACGGGAGGCAGCAGUGGGGAAUAUUGGACAAUGGGCGAAAGCCUGAUCCAGCCAUGCCGCGUGUGUGAAGAAGGUCUUCGGAUUGUAAAGCACUUUAAGUUGGGAGGAAGGGCAGUAAGUUAAUACCUUGCUGUUUUGACGUUACCAACAGAAUAAGCACCGGCUAACUUCGUG
rnacentral:rRNA from 1 species